GAUUCCCUAGUAACUGCGAGUGAAGCGGGAAAAGCUCAAAUUUUGAAUCUGGCAGUCUUAAUUGGCUGUCCGAAUUGUAAUCUAGAGAAGCGUCUUCCGCGCUGGACCGUGUACAAGUCUCCUGGAAGGGAGCGUCAUAGAGGGUGAGAAUCCCGUCUUUGACACGGACUACCAGUGCUUAUGUGUUGCGCUCUCGACGAGUCGAGUUGUUUGGGAAUGCAGCUCAAAAUGGGUGGUAAAUUCCAUCUAAAGCUAAAUACUGGCAAGAGACCGAUAGCGAACAAGUACCGUGAGGGAAAGAUCAAAAGAACUUUGAAAAGAGAGUUAAACAGUACGUGAAAUUGCUGAAAGGGAAACGCUUGAUGUCACUCGCGUCAGCUAGGGGUCAACCUUGCUUCAUCGCUCGGUGUAAUUCCUAGUUGACGGGUCAGCAUCAGUUUCGGUCGUCGUACACAGGCAAAGGGAAAGUAGCCAUUUCUAUGGUGUUAUAGACCUUGGUCGGAUGCGUACGGUCGGGACUGAGGAGAGCUCUGUAUGGUUAAUUCCGUACAAGAGGAUGCUGGCGUAAUGGCCUUAAGCGACCCGUCUUGAAACACGGACCAAGGAGUCUAACAUGCCUGCGAGUGUUUGGGUUCGCAAACCCGAGUGCGAAAUGAAAGUGAAAGUUGGAGACCUCUGUCAUGGAGGGCAUCGACGCCCGGACCUGACGUCUAUUUGACUACNGAUCUGCGGUAGAGCAUGCAUGUUGGGACCCGAAAGAUGGUGAACUAUGCCUGAAUAGGGUGAAGCCAGAGGAAACUCUGGUGGAGGCUCGUAGCGAUUCUGACGUGCAAAUCGAUCGUCGAAUUUGGGGUAUAGGGGCGAAAGGACUAAUCGAACC
rnacentral:rRNA from 1 species